AAUUCUCAACUUCCACCGCUUUUCAGUGGCGGAGGCUUGGACUUGGAGGUCGUGUCGGCUUGCAAAGGUCGACUCCUCUGAAAUGCAUUAGUGCGAGCCUUACGGAUCGCUUCGGUGUGAUAAUUGUCUACGCCGUGGUGUGAAGUAUGCUUGUGUUCGCGCUUCUAACCGUCCGAGAGGACACUUUAUAACG
rnacentral:misc_RNA from 1 species